GACGUAGGGCGCGAGCGUUGUCCGGAUUUAUUGGGCGUAAAGAGCGUGUAGGCGGCCAUGUAGGUCCGGUGUGAAAACUCGAGGCUUAACCUCGAGAUGUCAUCGGAAACCAUUUGGCUAGAGUCCGGAAGAGGAGAGUGGAAUUCCUGGUGUAGCGGUGAAAUGCGCAGAUAUCAGGAAGAACACCAAUUGCGAAGGCAGCUCGCUGGGACGUAACUGACGCUGAGGCACGAAAGCGUGGGGAGCAAAAGGG
rnacentral:rRNA from 1 species